rnacentral:rRNA from 1 species
GAUGAACGCUGGCGGCGUGCCUAACACAUGCAAGUCGAGCGAGAAGCCAUAAAAGGACACUUCGGUAGAAUUAUAUGGCGGAAAGCGGCGGACGGGUGAGUAACGCGUGGGAAACCUGCCUUUCACAGAGGGAUAGCCGAAGGAAACUACGAUUAAUACCUCAUAAAGCAAAAGCCUCGCAUGAAGCGAUUGCCAAAGAAUAAUCGGUGAAAGAUGGUCCCGCGUCUGAUUAGUUAGUUGGUAAGGUAGCGGCUUACCAAGGCGACGAUCAGUAGCCGGCCUGAGAGGGUGAACGGCCACAUUGGAACUGAGACACGGUCCAGACUCCUACGGGAGGCAGCAGUGGGGGAUAUUGCACAAUGGGCGAAAGCCUGAUGCAGCAACGCCGCGUGAAGGAAGAAGGCUUUCGAGUCGUAAACUUCUUCCAAAGGG